rnacentral:rRNA from 1 species
UACGGGGGGAGCAAGCGUUGUUCGGAUUUACUGGGCGUAAAGGGCGCGUAGGCGGCCAGCACAAGUCAGUUGUGAAAUCUCCGAGCUUAACUCGGAAAGGUCAACUGAUACUGUGCGGCUAGAGUGCAGAAGGGGCAACUGGAAUUCUUGGUGUAGCGGUGAAAUGCGUAGAUAUCAAGAGGAACACCUGCGGCGAAGGCGGGUUGCUGGGCUGACACUGACGCUGAUGCGCGAAAGCCAGGGGAGCGAACGGG